rnacentral:rRNA from 1 species
UACGGAGGGGGCUAGCGUUGUUCGGAAUUACUGGGCGUAAAGCGCACGUAGGCGGCUUUGUAAGUUAGAGGUGAAAGCCCAGAGCUCAACUCUGGAACUGCCUUUAAGACUGCAUCGCUUGAAUUGUGGAGAGGUAAGUGGAAUUCCGAGUGUAUAGGUGAAAUUCGUAGAUAUUCGGAAGAACACCAGUGGCGAAGGCGACUUACUGGACACAUAUUGACGCUGAAGUGCGAAAGCGUGGGGAGCAAACAGG